UUACAAUCUGGGUUAAACUGCAAUGUUGGAUUAGACAUUUGUGUGACAGGAUGAUACAAAUUGGAACACUAGCUAAGAUAAAUACGUAUAACUCAACAACAACUGAACAAAGUUGGCUUGCACCACCUGGCUAGCUAGCAUUAGCCGGCUAACUGACUAGCUAGCAAGCUGGCUAACCGACUAGCUAGCAGGCUGGCUAGCCAGCCCUACCUGGCUACUGGCUAUCGUUAUGCUAGCUAGUGAAAGUCAAUUAGUUCCUCAACCUGCUACAAGAUGAAGCUGCCCAGUCAGAGGUGUACCUGCUGCAGAAAGGAGAAGAGCACAGUAUGGCAUCUGAACAGAUCAUCAUGAACUUCAUUCAGUUACAUCAGCCAAUGCAGACUAUUCCAACAGUCCAGUCACUCAGCCCUAUCCAGAAACUCUCAUGGUCCUACACUACUUCCUCCUACAACACCCUGAUGAGAAGCAAAAAGCCUGGCCCGAUGACAGCAAUUUGCAUAUCUCUCUAACCCUGCAGUACCCUGCCAUGCUGAGACAAUCAGACUCUAGAACAGUAUUAUACCAUUUUUUAAAAUAAAAUGCUUAACAGUUAUGCAAUGAUCUCUCUUUCUCUCUCUGCCAUGCUCACAGUUCACUCACUCAGCCAAUAGGCUGGGUGAUGGCACCUACAGGCCUGUUUGAGGGACAACUGGACAGAACAUAUCAGAAUGCUUGGACCUCGGCUGAGACUCACCUCUCCU